rnacentral:tRNA from 1 species
GCCUAGCUGGCUCAGUCAGUGGGGCGUGUGACUCUUGAUCUUGGAGUCGUGGGUUCGAGCCCCAUAUUGGGUG